GGAGGAGGAGGAGGAGGAAGAGAGAGAAAGACAGAACUAAAAACCCUUGAAGGAUGGCUCUCCAAAAUUGCUGUCGGAAGCACGGGGAAUCCCUGGUAGAGCGGGAGCGGAGCUACUUUCUGGAUUUAUCCUGAACAAGAAGAGGAAUUACUGAAUUAACACCCAGGCAAUAAGUAAUGAGUGUGCUGUGUUAGAUGUGUCCAGAAGUCCUUCAUAAAUGGCUUUGAUCUGGAGAGCUUGUGCUGACUCUUUCUGGUGUGAGUAGGAGCCUCUCCCUGCCCAUCCCGGCACCAGGUCCUGCAGCAUCUCCACCUGUGCACAGUGAGGUAGGAUAACCUUGCCAAAGAGGAAAGGAAUUUGGACAGACUUAACAUCCAGCCUGUGCAGCUUCCACGAGCUGGACACUAAAAUGAAGAGAGAGUUGAUUCAUUCCCAUCUCCACACAGCCCACCAGAAUUAAAGGACAUUUGAACCUACAAGGGAGAUUGGGUCAAACACUUCCCAAGCUGCCCACACAGAGAAGGCUGUUCAGAUCCUCUGGCUACCAAGUCCCCACAUUU